rnacentral:other from 2 species
GCGGCGCUGCGGGGUGCGUGCAGGACUUUAUUCCCCGGGGCCUUAUCGAUCUCCAUGGGAGCUGUCCCUGGCCUCGCCCGUGGGCUUGGUCACACGGCGCCCACCUACGUUGUAGGUUCCCGGGAUCGAUGUCCCACGGCCCAGGUGGCCCGCA